rnacentral:sRNA from 1 species
UCCUCGAUCUGCUGCGGACAGAUGAAAUGGAUGUGGCUGUCGAUGCCGCCGGCCGUCACGAUGUUGCCUUCGCAGCUGAUCACUUCGGUGCCGGGGCCGAUCACGAUGUCCACGCCCGGUUGCACGUCGGGGUUGCCGGCCUUGCCGAUGGCCACGAUGCGCCCGCCCUUCAAGCCGAUGUCGGCCUUGACGAUGCCCCAAUGAUCGAUGAUCAGCGCGUUGGUCAUGACCGUGUCGACGGCGCCCUGGGCGCGCGUCAUUUGCGACUGCGCCAUGCCGUCGCGGA